AUUGAACGCUGGCGGCAGGCCUAACACAUGCAAGUCGUGCGAGCGGCGGACGGGUGUGUAACGUAUGGGAAUCUGCCUGAUGGCGGGGGAUACCUACUGGAAACGGUCGCUAAUACCGCAUACCAUCAGAUGAUCCCAUAUGGGAUUAGCUUGUAGCUGAGGUAACGGCUCACCUAGUCCACGAUCCCUAGCUGGUCUGAGAGGGUGAUCAGCCACACUGGAACUGAGACACGGCCCAGACGCCUACGGGAGGCAGCAGUGGGGAAUAUUGCGCAAUGGGCGCAAGCCUGAUACAGCCAUGCCGCGUGUAUGAAGAAGGCCUUCGGGUUGUAAAGUACUUUCAGUCGGGAGGCGGUACCGACAGAAGAAGCACCGGCUAACUCCGUGCCAGCAGCCGCGGUAAUUC
rnacentral:rRNA from 1 species